UUACUGUCUUUCACGUUUCGAUGAGUAUAAAGUGAACUAUUAAACAUUUCAAAAAGUUGAUUAAGUAGCAAAAUGUGGUAAAGCAGAUUAAGUGUGAAACCAACAUUAUAGUGAGAUCCUUGUGAAUGGAAAAUAGCAUGAUCCAGGCUGUUCUUCAAUUGCAAAGAAAGAGAAUUAUGAUUGAAACAAAUGCAAAAUUUCCAACUGGAAUUCUCUUCAUAUUCGUGGUAAUUUUGGAAUUCCAGAGAAUAACACCUUAAAAAGAAAGAACUGUGGCUGUGCUAAUGUAGCAGUAUUGCGUGAAUCUGUUGCCGCCAUUCCAUAGACUGACCCAUUGGAAUGGUGAAACUGGCGAGUAAACGCUGAAAUUCAAGAAAAUUAUGUUGA